GAGCCUGAGAAACGGCUACCACAUCCAAGGAAGGCAGCAGGCGCGCAAAUUACCCAAUCCUGACACAGGGAGGUAGUGACAAUAUAUAACGAUACAGGGCCUUUGGUCUUGUAAUUGGAAUGAGUACAAUGUAAAUACCUUAACGAGGAACAAUUGGAGGGCAAGUCUGGUGCCAGCAGCCGCGGUAAUUCCAGCUCCAAUAGCGUAUAUUAAAGUUGUUGCAGUUAAAAAGCUCGUAGUUGAACUUUGGGCCUGGGCGGGCGGUCUACCUAUGGUGAGUACUGCUGCGGCCGGGUCUUUCCUUCUGGCUAGCCCUUGUGGCGAACCAGGACGAUUACUUUGAGGAAAUUAGAGUGUUCAAAGCAGGCCUUUGCUCGGAUAUAUUAGCAUGGAAUAAUAGAAUAGGACGUAUGGUUCUAUUUUGUUGGUUUCUAGGACCAUCGUAAUGAUUAAUAGGGACGGUCGGGGGCAUCAGUAUUCAGUUGUCAGAGGUGAAAUUCUUGGAUUAACUGAAGACUAACUACUGCGAAAGCAUUUGCCAAGGACGUUUUCAUUAAUCAAGAACGAAAGUUAGGGGAUCGAAGAUGAUCAGAUACCGUCGUAGUCUUAACCAUAAACUAUGCCGACUAGGGAUCGGGUGGCGCUACUUUGCCCACUCGGCACCUUACGAGAAAUCAAAGUUUUUGGGUUCUGGGGGGAGUAUGGUUGCAAGGCUGAAACUUAAAGGAAUUGACGGAAGGGCACCACCAGGAGUGGAGCCUGCGGCUUAAUUUGACUCAACACGGGGAAACUCACCAGGUCCAGACGUAAUAAGGAUUGACAAGUUAGAGACUUCUCUUGAUCUUACGGGUGGUGGUGCAUGGCCGUUUUUAGUCCUUGGAGUGAUUUGUCUGCUUAAUUGCGAUAACGGACGAGACCUUAACCUGCUAAAUAGGGCUGCGAGCAUCUGCUCGUGGGCUCUUCUUAGAGGGACUAUGGGUAUCAAACCCAUGGAAGUUUGAGGCAACAACAGGUCUGUGAUGCCCUUAGACGUUCUGGGCCGCACGCGCGCUACACUGACGGAGCCAGCAAGUACAACCUUGGUCGAGAGGCCCGGGUAAUCUCGUGAAACUCCGUCGUGCUGGGGAUAGAGCAUUGUAAUUUUUGCUCUUCAACGAGGAAUUCCUAGUAAGCGCAAGUCAUCAGCUUGCGUUGAUUACGUCCCUGCCCUUUGUACACACCGCCCGUCGCUACUACCGAUUGAAUGGCUUAGUGAGGCUUCAAGAUUGGCGCCGCGGGAGAGGCAACUUUGCCAUGGCGCCGAAAAUUUAGUCAAACUUGGUCAUUUAGAGGUCGUAAAAGUCGUAACAAGGUUUCCGUAGGUGAACCUGCGGAAGGAUCAUUACUGUGAUUUAACCAUUCUACACGUGCGUGAGCGCAACUACAACACGAAAACGUAUGUACUAUUGUCAACAAACUACAAAACAAACAAAACUUCA
rnacentral:rRNA from 1 species